rnacentral:tRNA from 1 species
GUCCUCGUAGUCCAACCGGUAGAGACACCCGGCUUAAACCCGGCACAGUGUGGGUUCAAAUCCCACCGAGGACA